UACGUAGGGGGCUAGCGUUGUCCGGAUUUAUUGGGCGUAAAGAGCGUGUAGGCGGCCAUGUAGGUCCGGUGUGAAAACUCGAGGCUUAACCUCGAGAUGUCAUCGGAAACCAUUUGGCUAGAGUCCGGAAGAGGAGAGUGGAAUUCCUGGUGUAGCGGUGAAAUGCGCAGAUAUCAGGAAGAACACCAAUGGCGAAGGCAGCUCGCUGGGACGUCACUGACGCUGAGACGCGAAAGCGUGGGGAGCAAACAGG
rnacentral:rRNA from 1 species